GAAUUUCCUCUUUCUCUGUUAAGGUUUCGUUCUUUAUGUUUUGAUUGUAUAAAAAGAAAUGUCCAAAGGAGACAAAGGAGGUUACAGCCCCGAGGGAGGUGUGUUUUCUUUGCCACAGCACCAGGAGAACCGAGGGGUCGCUGCUGCCCCUCCAGGGCCUCCCCUCUCUCUCUUCCUCUCUUCGUGCUGAACACCAAGCCCCUUGCACGGGGCUGCAUCGUUCAGCCACCUGUUGACAUGGGGUGCUGUUCCCUCAGAUUUCCUGCUACCUGGAGCUGGGGAGCGUGGCCGUCCUGAUUGUCACGGAGCCGUGCUGGAGCCCCGGGUUGUGCGUGACGAGGGGAGACAGAGGCAGGCUGCCCGGUCCAGGGGACAGGAUGGAAAACCACUUGAAGGCUUGUGCCCAGGACGGGAGAACAUGUGAUGUGCCUGAUACACGCUUGUCCGUGGUCUGCCUGACAUCGCUAUUACGAUGUUGACCUCCGGUGAACCCCGAAGCAGGAAGCUCUCUAUGGCAGCAGGUGCAGGGAACGGUGUCAGCAGGUAGUGCUCCUUCACCCGCUCAUCACCGAGCACCCGCCAGGGUCCCUCAUCACCGAGCGCCCGCCAGGGUCCCUCAUCUCCGAGCGCCCGCCACUGUUCCCGGCAACUUUGCAUGACGACUGUUCCUUUGCUCUUCCUGCAUUUCCCAGAGGAAGAAGUGAAGGUCAGGAGGCAUGAAACUCUGCGCGGAUGUGCACGGCGCCUGCCCCGAGCCGUGGGUGCGCUGGGGAACCGGCCGCGUGGACUCCACUCCUGUGCGAAGUGUCAGAGCUGGGAGCAGCCAGGGGAGCGCUGGUGGUGAGCUCAUGGCAGCAGAUGGUCGUGGACACUGUGGAGAAGCCACUGCUCGCCUGAGCGGGGCCAUGCGGGGCCACCUCUGGAAUAGUGGCCCUGCAACGGCCACUCUGAGCUUCUCCCAGACCUGGAUUUUCUUUGCGGCAUCGCUUCAGAAAAUCUGUUUGUUUGUCUGGGGAUUCUACGGUCCUUAUGCUGUCAGCCCCACAAUUGCUUCUACUGGUUUUUCCAUUUGAGGAGUUGUCCACGUUCUCCAAAAGCUUAAGAAAGGACCGGACUAGAAGCCCACAGAGCUGGGCUAGCAUCCCGUCCUUUCCCCACUUAGCUACUUGGUAACUUUGACCUUGACCCAGGCCAUGUUACCUGCUGGGCCUCUGGACUGCAUGGAAUUAGAGAUGAGAUAAAUGGUCAGAUCUUUUAAUUACUUUGUUUUUUCUUUCAUAUAUGUUUGGACUUUCAUAGAUGGGCAUGUAUAAAUAAAUCGAUGUGUUGUGCAAACAUUCCAUACAUUUAUAAAGGUAAAGAUGUUUGUUGCUGUUGGUCUCCAGAUUCCUUUUACAAACACUUUCCCUCACGUUAUUAGAAGCUGCCCAUUCAUGAUGAAGGGUUUCCAUUUCCUUUUCAGAGAAUGCUGGUACUCAGCUCCCGUGCUGUGGGAAACUCAUGCCCCCCACAUGGGCAGUGUGCAACUCCCUCCUGACCCAUGCACCUGCUAGCCGUGGGCUGGCUCUCCUCCUGUCUAAACCUCCAAGGAGUGCCUCCUCUUCUCUCCUUCCUUCUCUGCCCCGUUAUGAUCUAGUCUGCUGCCUUCACUUGCACAACUGCUCUUGUAAGAAAGGGCAAGUGAAAAAUCAUAUGCUACCUUCUUUCCUGGCCCUGGGGGGAGGAAAGACAUGGCGAACACAUCGUGUUGUCUUGGACCAGGUUUGGGCUGGUCUGUCUGAUUCUGUGGGGCCCAGAGAAAUGGGACACCUGUACUAGGUUUUACAGGGGAAGACCCACACCAAUGCCCGAGAUCAACAUUAUCGUGUCUGACGGAAACGUGAACGGAUGCUUUCUGCGUUGCUGGUGGUUUAUAUCUUGGACAUAAUUGUGCAAGCAUCUUCAUUCUACCGCUGGAGGUCAGAUGCCCAAUGUGACAGCAAUAGUAGUCUCUUUAAAGCAGUGACUAAUACACAGUGAUAGCCGUUUUUCAAAAUUAUGUCUUUUGGAAAAGUAUUUGGAAGAUGAAUAAGCCAGGAUUGUCAUGGAGAUCUACCAUGGCGUAAAAGGCAAUUUCUUGUCACGGUCACCAUGACAACAUUCAGGCUACGUGCUCUCAUAUACCUGCAAUUAAAUUCUAUUAGAAAGGAAAGGUCGCUAGCGCCAAGCCGCUGCGUUUACCACGACCGCUGUUUAGCUGGAGACCAAAGGCCUGAUGGGUUUUGCUAAUGCAUUUUCAAAAGCACUAAGUCUUAGCUAACUACUUUUUCAUCCGUACGGGACUUUGAGUUGAAUUGCAGUUAGGACACCUCAAAACACUGUUACGAGCAGCCUGAUGAGUUGAGGUCCGACAGUCCAUGCCCUCUGCUCCCCAGUCCUCCCAGCCUCACGCACAUGGCCACCAGGUGAAGACAGGGAGUGAGAAUUGUCGGUGAGCACAUUGUUUCACCUGAAUCGGGCGGAACGUGUGGGGCAGAAAAGAUGACGUUCUGGGCCGAGCUUCUUCAAAUUUUCUGUGGCGCGCGUUAACCUGAGCUGCCCCGUUUCCCGGGGAAGGCAGCAGCCUCGCCCUGGCCAUCCGCGGCCCGAGCAGGCUCGGCGUCUCCACUCGGAGUACGUGCGUCGCCCUCGCGUCGGCCGGGAGCUCUGCUGAGCGGGUCGUGAUGCCAGCAGAUGCUUUCUGUCUGACUCUUGGGAUUUCUUCUU